AAGCGUGCGUAGGCGGCCUGUUAAGUCAGAUGUGAAAGCCCCGGGCUUAACCUGGGAACUGCAUUUGAAACUGGCAGGCUAGAGUUGGGUAGAGGGGAGCGGAAUUUCAGGUGUAGCGGUGAAAUGCGUAGAUAUCUGAAGGAACACCAGUGGCGAAGGCGGCUCCCUGGACCCAAACUGACGCUGAGGUACGAAAGCGUGGGUAGCAAACAGGAUUAGAUACCCUGGUAGUCCACGCCGUAAACGAUGUCGACUAGCCGUUGGCCCUAUUUACAGGGUUAGUGGCGCAGCUAACGCAUUAAGUCGACCGCCUGGGGAGUACGGCCGCAAGGUUAAAACUCAAAUGAAUUGACGGGGGCCCGCACAAGCGGUGGAGCAUGUGGUUUAAUUCGAUGCAACGCGAAGAACCUUACCUACCCUUGACAUCCAGAGAAUCUGUUGGAGACAGCGGAGUGCCUUCGGGAACUCUGAGACAGGUGCUGCAUGGCUGUCGUCAGCUCGUGUCGUGAGAUGUUGGGUUAAGUCCCGUAACGAGCGCAACCCUUAUCCUUAGUUGCCAGCACGUCAUGGUGGGAACUCUAGGGAGACUGCCGGUGAUAAACCGGAGGAAGGUGGGGACGACGUC
rnacentral:rRNA from 1 species